AUGGCCCUCUCUCAGCUCCUGUGCCUGUGGCCGUGGCCUUGGUGGCACCCUUCCCCGGUGGCCUGCCCAGGGCUUCCCCCACCCAUGCAGUCUCCUACCCCCACUGCCCAGGGCCUCAGUAGCCCCCUGUUUGGGGCCUACACUCUCCCCACCUUCAAGUUCCAGCCUCGCCGUGAGAGUGUGGACUGGAGGCGCAUCAGUGCCCUGGAUGUGGACCGCGUGGCACGGGAGCUGGACGUGGCUACCCUGCAGGAGAACAUCGCUGGUGUCACUUUCUGCAACCUGGACCGGGAGGUGUGCGGCCGCUGUGGGCAGCCCGUGGACCCAGUGCUGCUCAAGGUGCUGCGGCUGGCGCAGCUCAGCAUUGAGUACCUGCUGCACUGCCAGGACUGCCUGAGCACCAGCGUGGCCCAGCUGGAGGCGCGGCUGCAGGCCAGCCUGGGCCAGCAGGAGCGUGGCCAGCAGGAGCUGGGCCGCCAGGCUGACGAGCUCAAGGGCGUGCGGGAGGAGAGCCGGCGGCGGCGCAAGAUGAUCAGUGCCCUGCAGCAGCUGCUCCUGCAGACGGGCGCCCACAGCUACCACACCUGCCACCUGUGUGACAAGACCUUCAUGAAUGCCACCUUUCUCCGGGGCCACAUCCAGCGCAGGCACGCAGGCGUGGUGGAAGGCGGAAAGCAGAGGAAGCAGGAGCAGCCAGUGGAGGAGGUGUUAGAAGAGCUACGGGCCAAACUGAAGUGGACCCAGGGGGAGCUGGAAGCCCAGAGGCAGGCGGAGAGGCAGCGGCAGCUCCAGGAAGCAGAGAUCAUUCGCCAAAGGGAAGCAGAAGCUAAGAAAGAAUUUGAUGAAUGGAAAGAAAAAGAGCGGGCGAAGCUAUAUGGGGAAAUAGACAAGCUCAAAAAAUUAUUUUGGGAUGAAUUUACAAGUGUUGCCAACCAGAACUCUACCUUAGAGGAGAAGCUGCAGGCACUGCAGUCCCACAAUAUGAUGAAGUCCAACCUGGGGUCCCUGCGGGAUGAGGAGCCCGAGGAGAGACUCAGGCAGGCUCAGGAGCUCUGGGCUCUGAAGGAGAAGAUGGAAAUUCAGAAAACAGAAUGGAGGAGGAAAAUGAAGGCACUGCAAGAGGAGCACGCAGCUCAGAAGAGAGAGCUGCGGGAGCAGAACGAGAGGCUCCAGGCUACCCUGUCUCAGGAUCAGAGGAAAGCAGCCGCCCAGACCCAGCGCCAGAUCCAUGCCCUCCGCGCCCAGCUCCAGGAACAAGCCAGGCUCAUUGCCUCCCAGGAGGAGAUGAUGCAGGCCAUGUCUCUCCAGAAGGUGGAGGGGAUCUGUGAAGGCCCGAAGGCUGUGGACACAGAUGAGGACUCUUCCGAGGAAGAGCUGGAGGACUCCCACAGUGGACAGCAGAAGGUGCUGGAAGCCCUGAGGCGAAACCCCACCUUGCUGAAGCAGUUCAGGCCAGUCCUGGAGGACACCCUGGAGGAAAAGCUGGAAAGCAUGGGGAUAAAGAGAGAUGCCAAGGGAAUUCCCGCUCAGACCCUCAGACACCUGGAAUCCAUCCUGCGAGCCCAGCGGGAGCAGAAGGCCAGGAGGUUUUCUGAGUUCCUGAGCCUGAGAGAGAAGCUCAUUAAGGAAGCCACCAGCAGAGUGAAGGACAGACAGAAGGACAGGGCCCCGAUGUCCCAGCCAGAGGGCGAGGUGCCAGUCAAAAGCCAGCAGAGCCCACUGGUCACCAAAGAGGUCCAGCCAAAGGCCAGGACCCUGCAUGUGGCACAGCCAUCCAAGCCUGCAGAGCCCGCUGUGACAAGUUUCCAGAGCCGCAGCAGCCAUAGCCUGGGCCUGGCCCCGGGGCCCACCCCUACUCCUCGCUCCAGAGCACCUGGGCCCUCUGGCACCCCUUCUUCCCCAGGGCCUGGGCUGAGUACGCCCCCGUUCAGUUCUGAAGAGGACUCAGAGAGAGAUGCUGGGCCGCGUGCUUCCCUGCAGCCCCUGAGAGCUCUUUCAAGGGUGGGACCCCGGCCGCAGGAUGACUCAGACUGGUCUGACACCGAGACCUCGGAGGGGAGUGCCCAGGCCCCUGGCAAGGGCUCGGGCGGGCUGGCCUCCUCAGGAACGCUGGUGCAAUCGAUGGUCAGAAACCUCGAGAAGCAGUUGGAGGCUCCAGCCAAGAAGCCUGCUGGAGGGGUCAGUCUGUUCUCAGUGCCCAGUGCCGGGCCACAGAGAGCUGCUGUGCCAGGAGGAAAGCCCCAGCUUUCUGAGGAUGAGAGUGACUUGGAGAUCUCUUCCUUGGAAGAUCUCCCACAGGACCUAAACCAGAGAGAGAAACCAAAGCCCUUGUCUCGCUCAAAGCUCCCGGAGAAGUUUGGUGCCAGCUCUUGGAGCCCCAGUCAACCCAGGGUCCCUGGCUGGUGA
rnacentral:lncRNA from 1 species